GGGUUUGUAGCUCAGUGGUAGAGCAUCUUAUUGGCAUGCAGAAGGUCCAAAGUUCAACCCCUUGCAGGUCCA